AGAUUUUUUUUUUUGUAUAAAGGCGAUUUGACCAACUUAUCUGCUAGAAAAAACUUGAAUGAAACAAAAUCGAGAAUAUUAAAAAUGUUAAUGAAAGAAUAAAAAAUUAGAGAGCACCCAUCGCAAUGGACAAUAAACCAAAUGAAAUUUCUCCCUUUUACAAGCGCCACUAUCGUUUUUGCGGCUUACGAUUGCAAAUUGAAACGAAGCCAAAACGAGUUAUAAAGGGAUGGAAAAGGAGGAAGAUAGGAGGAGAGUGGUAUUCG